rnacentral:lncRNA from 1 species
AUUGCCAUGGUGCUGUAAUUUUGAUUUUUAGCUGUUAAGUGAUUUUAAAUUGUUAUUUUUUUAUUCUAUUUGCAUACCCUUAGGCUUUCCUAAGGAAAAGUGGGACAUUCUGGGAUCAAAUCAGAAACCGGGAUGACAUCUCUAAAUCAGGGAUGUCCCUGGAAAAUAAGAACACAUGGAGGGUGUGUAUUUGUAUUAUUGUUCUUAAUUUCUGUUUGUAACCUGCCACAAAAGCUAUGUGCAGAAAAUAGGAAGAUAUCUUACUCUGCAAUCUAAUGCAUGCUUACUCAGAAGUAAGUACCAGUGUGUUCACUGGGGCUUAUUCCCAAGAAAAUGUGCACAAGUAGCUUAUAUAAAAAUAAUAACUCAGUUCCCAAUGAGUUUGGUUUCUUUUGUACCUAGAAAUUAGCAAUAAAUAUUUAAUUUUUAAAAUUUAAUGUGACUUCUGAAUAGAAAUGAAUAGAAUAGAAAAUAUACACUCAUUUAUUUUAUUUAGAAUCAUUUAUUUUUUAUUGUUUUAAUUUAUGAUUUGCCUUCUUCACAUGUGUCAAGCAAUUUACAAGUUAUAGGUGUAGAGAAAGAAUAUCGCACAUGUGUUUAUUUUACAAUUUUUAUCUUGUUUUUAUUUUUAUAUUCAUGUAAAGCCCAAAGUUUAUUCAGCUCAGAUUGUAGAUCCAUUCCUGGGAAAUCUAGAGACCUUUUUCUUGUUUCGUUUCAUCCUUUCCUAUUAAUUCAUGCUUUUCAAACCCUGUUUAGGACAAAUUGGAUUUUCUUUUGAUUUGUAAAACCUGUUACUUCAUAUAUUUAACGAAAGGCUAAUUUCCAUCCAUAAAUGAAAUGUUUUAAAAAGAAAAUGGUUUCCCUUAGCAUUAACACAGACUUUAUAAGUUAUUUCUGUGUGGGAUUUUUUAAUACCCGUGAAAUACUUGUGCCUUGAAUAGCCCUUUUAAAUUUAACCAGAAUAUCUUUUUUUAUAAUUGAUUUUAGCAUUGAGUACUAUUUGGCACUAUUUCAAUCAGCUUCUCUUUUAAAACAAAAUAACUAAUUCUCCUGCUUUUAAGAGCAAUUGGAUUAUUGCUCAUUCAAAGUCUAUUAUACUCUCCAACCCCAUUUUUGUUCAUAAAUGAGCUGGAAGUAUAUGACAUAUUUUGAAUGAGUUAAAACUGGAUGGGUUUUCAGCAGUGGUACAAUAUAAAAUUAUUAAUAAAUUUAGAAUAUUAAAGACAAACAAUGUCCCAUGCUAAAACGGAGAACUUCUUCAGGGGUUUGUUUUCAAAUGUUUCAACAUCUGUUAACUUAAAGUUCUACUAACAAUACAAUGCUUGGAUACAAAGCUUGCACCUAAAAUAAAAUGCUUGCUUCAUGCAAAUACAAUAACCUUGCUUUU